GGGUUGUGAGGUUAAGCGAAUAAGCGUACACGGUGGAUGCCUAGGCAAUCAGAGGCGAUGAAGGACGUGCUAAUCUGCGAAAAGCGUCGGUAAGGUGAUAUGAACCGUUAUACCCGACGAUAUCCGAAUGGGGAAACCCAGUAUCCAAUGGAUACUAUCAUUAACUGAAUCCAUAGGUUAAUGAGGCGAACCGGGAGAACUGAAACAUCUCAGUACCCCGAGGAAAAGAAAUCAACCGAGAUUCCCCUAGUAGCGGCGAGCGAACGGGGAGCAGCCCAGAGUCUUAAUCAAUAGCAGUGUCAGGAGAACGGUCUGGAAAGUCCGGCAGUAAAGGGUGAUAGCCCCGUAUCUGAAGAUGCUGUUAUUGUGAACUCGACGAGUAGGGCGGGACACGUGUUAUCCUGUCUGAAUAUGGGGGGACCAUCCUCCAAGGCUAAAUACUCCUGAUUGACCGAUAGUGAACCAGUACCGUGAGGGAAAGGCGAAAAGAACCCCGGCGAGGGGAGUGAAAAAGAACCUGAAACCGUGUACGUACAAGCAGUAGGAGCCUCUUUAUGGGGUGACUGCGUACCUUUUGUAUAAUGGGUCAGCGACUUAUAUUCUGUAGCGAGGUUAACCGUAUAGGGGAGCCGUAGGGAAACCGAGUCUUAACUGGGCGAAUGAGUUGCAGGGUAUAGACCCGAAACCCGGUGAUCUAUCCAUGGGCAGGUUGAAGGUUGGGUAACACUAACUGGAGGACCGAACCGACUAAUGUUGAAAAAUUAGCGGAUGACUUGUGGAUGGGGGUGAAAGGCCAAUCAAACCGGGAGAUAGCUGGUUCUCCCCGAAAGCUAUUUAGGUAGCGCCUCGUGAACUCAUCUUCGGGGGUAGAGCACUGUUUCGACUAGGGGGUCAUCCCGACUUACCAACUCGAUGCAAACUGCGAAUACCGAAGAAUGUUAUCACGGGAGACACACGGCGGGUGCUAACGUCCGUCGUGAAGAGGGAAACAACCCAGACCGCCAGCUAAGGUCCCAAAGUCAUGGUUAAGUGGGAAACGAAGUGGGAAGGCUCAGACAGCCAGGAUGUUGGCUUAGAAGCAGCCAUCAUUUAAAGAAAGCGUAAUAGCUCACUGGUCGAGUCGGCCCGCGCGGAAGAUGUAACGGGGCUAAACCAUGCACCGAAGCUGCGGCAGCGACACAAAGUGUUGUUGGGUAGGGGAGCGUUCUGUAAGCCUGCGAAGGUGUACUGUGAGGUAUGCUGGAGGUAUCAGAAGUGCGAAUGCUGACAUAAGUAACGAUAAUGCGGGUGAAAAACCCGCACGCCGGAAGACCAAGGGUUCCUGUCCAACGUUAAUCGGGGCAGGGUGAGUCGACCCCUAAGGCGAGGCUGAAAAGCGUAGUCGAUGGGAAACGGGUUAAUAUUCCCGUACUGGUGGUAACUGCGAUGGGGGAACGGAGAAGGCUAGGUUGUCCGGGCGACGGUCGUCCCGGUUCAAGCAGGUAGGCAGAGUGAUUAGGCAAAUCCGGUCACUUAAUGCUGAGAUGUGAUGACGAACCACCAAGGUGGUGAAGCAAUUGAUGCCCCGCUUCCAGGAAAAGCCUCUAAGCUUCAGGUUACCAACAAUCGUACCCCAAACCGACACAGGUGGUCAGGUAGAGAAUACUCAGGCGCUUGAGAGAACUCGGGUGAAGGAACUAGGCAAAAUGGUGCCGUAACUUCGGGAGAAGGCACGCUGGCGGUAGGUAAAGUCCCUCGCGGACGGCGCUGAAGCCAGUCGAAGAUACCAGCUGGCUGCAACUGUUUAUUAAAAACACAGCACUGUGCAAACACGAAAGUGGACGUAUACGGUGUGACGCCUGCCCGGUGCUGGAAGGUUAAUUGAUGGGGUCAGCCGCAAGGCGAAGCUCCUGAUCGAAGCCCCAGUAAACGGCGGCCGUAACUAUAACGGUCCUAAGGUAGCGAAAUUCCUUGUCGGGUAAGUUCCGACCUGCACGAAUGGCGUAAUGAUGGCCAGGCUGUCUCCACCCGAGACUCAGUGAAAUUGAACUCGCUGUGAAGAUGCAGUGUACCCGCGGCAAGACGGAAAGACCCCGUGAACCUUUACUAUAGCUUGACACUGAACAUUGAGCCUUGAUGUGUAGGAUAGGUGGGAGGCUUUGAAGUGUGGACGCCAGUCUGCAUGGAGCCAACCUUGAAAUACCACCCUUUAACGUUUGAUGUUCUAACCUAGGCCCAUAAACUGGGUCGGGGACCGUGUCUGGUGGGUAGUUUGACUGGGGCGGUCUCCUCCUAAAGAGUAACGGAGGAGCACGAAGGUUGGCUAAGCAUGGUCGGACAUCAUGCGGUUAGUGCAAAGGCAUAAGCCAGCUUGACUGCGAGAGUGACGGCUCGAGCAGGUACGAAAGUAGGUCUUAGUGAUCCGGUGGUUCUGAAUGGAAGGGCCAUCGCUCAACGGAUAAAAGGUACUCCGGGGAUAACAGGCUGAUACCGCCCAAGAGUUCAUAUCGACGGCGGUGUUUGGCACCUCGAUGUCGGCUCAUCACAUCCUGGGGCUGAAGUAGGUCCCAAGGGUAUGGCUGUUCGCCAUUUAAAGUGGUACGCGAGCUGGGUUUAGAACGUCGUGAGACAGUUCGGUCCCUAUCUGCCGUGGGCGUUGGAAGAUUGAGAGGGGUUGCUCCUAGUACGAGAGGACCGGAGUGAACGCACCACUGGUGUUCGGGUUGUCAUGCCAAUGGCAUUGCCCGGUAGCUAAGUGCGGAAGAGAUAACCGCUGAAAGCAUCUAAGCGGGAAACUUGCCUCGAGAUGAGUCUUCCCUGUCGCUUUAAGCGACCUAAAGGAACGUUUAAGACUAAGACGUUGAUAGGCUGGGUGUGUAAGCGUAGUGAUACGUUGAGCUAACCAGUACUAAUGAACCGUGAGGCUUAACCUGACAACACCGAAAGUGUUUUG
rnacentral:rRNA from 1 species